rnacentral:rRNA from 1 species
AUUGAACGCUGGCGGCAGGCCUAACACAUGCAAGUCGAGCGGUAACAGAUCUAGCUUGCUAGAUGCUGACGAGCGGCGGACGGGUGAGUAAUGCAUAGGAAUCUGCCCGAUAGUGGGGGAUAACCUGGGGAAACCCAGGCUAAUACCGCAUACGUCCUACGGGAGAAAGGGGGCUCCGGCUCCCGCUAUUGGAUGAGCCUAUGUCGGAUUAGCUAGUUGGUGAGGUAAUGGCUCACCAAGGCAACGAUCCGUAGCUGGUCUGAGAGGAUGAUCAGCCACAUCGGGACUGAGACACGGCCCGAACUCCUACGGGAGGCAGCAGUGGGGAAUAUUGGACAAUGGGGGGAACCCUGAUCCAGCCAUGCCGCGUGUGUGAAGAAGGCCCUCGGGUUGUAAAGCACUUUCAGCGAGGAAGAACGCCUAGGGGUUAAUACCCCCUAGGAAAGACAUCACUCGCAGAAGAAGCACCGGCUAACUCCGUGCCAGCAGCCGCGGUAAUACGGAGGGUGCAAGCGUUAAUCGGAAUUACUGGGCGUAAAGCGCGCGUAGGUGGCUUGAUAAGCCGGUUGUGAAAGCCCCGGGCUCAACCUGGGAACGGCAUCCGGAACUGUCAAGCUAGAGUGCAGGAGAGGAAGGUAGAAUUCCCGGUGUAGCGGUGAAAUGCGUAGAGAUCGGGAGGAAUACCAGUGGCGAAGGCGGCCUUCUGGACUGACACUGACACUGAGGUGCGAAAGCGUGGGUAGCAAACAGG